rnacentral:sRNA from 1 species
UUUUUAUUUAAAAGAAUAGUUCCUUAGUAUGACGUUUAGCAGCAUAACGGCACACGGGAUUUACGUGAGGUGAAGCAACCGCGUUCUUAGGUCCAAUGAAAAGAUGCCACGUGAAUCCGUGGCUGUGUGUACGUGGCUUAUAAAUAAGCAUGCAGAAUUCUUGGGUUUCGUCUCAACUCACAAAUUAGGCUGUUAAAGGUUUUCAGUGUUUCGUUCUAAUCAGAAUUGUUCCUCUCUAUUUUUUUGUGAGUUGCAACUUCACAAAGAAAAGCUUUUUAAGUUAAGGAAAUCCAGAGAGCAAAAAUGGCAGGUGACGGUACAGCUACAUGCAUAGACAUCCUUCUUGCUAUCAUCUUGCCUCCUCUUGGAGUCUUUCUCAAAUAUGGCUGCAAGGUGGAGUUCUGGAUUUGUUUGGUGCUAACCCUUUUUGGUUAUAUACCUGGAAUUAUCUAUGCUGUCUAUGCCAUAACCAAGUGAUCAUACUUUAACUUUUGUAAGUGAUCCUUUUACAUGGAAGAUUCUCAUUUUGUUAAAGCCAUGGGAUUAUCUUUUUCUCUUGUAAAGUAAACAUUUAAUUUACUUCAAGGAAUUUGGGUUUGAAAUAAUUUGGCUGUUGUAAAUUUUUGGGCUUCUGGCAGCGGUCUCUAGUACCCUGUUCUACUCAGUCACAUUAAGACGAAACCCAUAUCUUUUUUUUUUUUCCUUCUUUCCUUUAUAGAGAAAGAAAGCACAAAAUAUUCAUUCAGAAGUAACUAGUUGUAAUUAAGAAUGAAGAGAGAAGUUUAUACAGAGAAGGGCAUGUUGUUACACCUCGCACUACUUUUAUGCUAAUUUCUCCUGAUAAUAAUUGUAACUAAAGGAAUUUGAAGUGGGUUACUGGGUUUAGCUUUGAGUAGCUUUACUUUUAUGGUGGACCUUCUAAUUUCACUGAUGAAAUGAUGUUUCUUUUGGCAGGAAGGCAAUAAACAAAUGUUAUGAGCGUUUCUGUCAUUCAACUCAGAUAUUAGUGUUUCUUUACUACAUCAUUGUCAAUGUCAUAAUUUUUUUUAUGCUCUGUUUCUAAAAUUCCUUUGUUUUUAGCUUAAGCGAGAGUGGAGUGUGUAGCUUGUAUGUAGUCUCUAGUGUUAAUCGAUUCGAAAUACACAAUUUGAUUUGUACCAAUGGUCUUGUUCAAGUAUGUAAUGUAAAUUGUGCUAUUCUUGACUUUCAAAUGAAUAAAUUGAAAUUUUUUCUUAUUA